rnacentral:lncRNA from 1 species
AGGCGAUUUCCAGAUCUAGGGUUUCAAUGACAUCGAAUCGUUGAUUUUCUCUCUAUCCGACAGAAGAUCCACUGGGGUUGACCUCUAGGGUUUCAAUGACACGGAAUCGAUGAUUUUCUCUCUAUUCGACAUAAGAUCCACUGGGGUUGACCUCUAGGUACCGUUUUAAACCAUCUUCUCCGAGAUCGGCUGCUGCUUAUGUUAAUCCUCAUGGUCUUCUGUUCAGAUCUGGUUUUAAUACCGAGAACUAAAGGCUAGGGUUCGACUAACUGGCAGUUAACUUCUCCGAGAUCCGUUGCUGCUCGUGUUAAUCCUCAUCUUCUUCUGUUCAGAUCUGGCUUUAAUACUGGUAAUCGUUUAACUGUAUAUAGUUUGAGCUAAUGAUUUUGUGUUUGAACUUUGAAUAUGUGAAUUUGAGUGUUAUUCAUGUGGAUUGUUGUUAAUUAAUGGUUAUAAGAGUUGCAACUGUACUACAAACUGUUUCGGAUAUGUUUUUCGUGGAUUUGGUGAGUGUUUUAAGUUAAUUUGUGUUUGAAUUUGUGAAAUUUGAGUGUUAUGUAAGUGGAUUUGUUGUUAAUUAACGGUAAAGCAAGUUGAAACUGUACUGAAAACGUUGAGUGUUAUGUAAGUGGAUUUGUUAAUUAACGGUUAUGCAAGUUGAAACUAUACUGAAAACCGUUGCUGAUAUGUUUGUUGUGGAUUUGGUGAGUAUUUUUGGUUAAUUUGUGUUUGAAUUUUGUGAAUUUUGGCUCAGGUGGCUGAACAACAAGUGAGUAGCUUGUGUUUGGAGGCUCAGGAGUUCAUGAUUGCUGGUAGAUGGUUGGAUUUGGCUUUGUUGAUGAUUACUUCUGCUGAUUUGGUGUUUUCCAAAGCGUCAAAUAAAGGAUAAGCUGCAACAAGGGGUUUGGUUUCAAUCACACCGAAUCGAUGAUUUUCUCUCUAUUCAACACAAGAUCCACUGGGGUUUUUCUCUAUUCGACAUAAAAUCCACUGGGGUUGACCUCUAGGUACCGUUAUAAACCACAUCAUGUUUGAAUUCUCUGAUCUCUGUGUUUGAGGCGGUUUCGAGGUAAUGUGGCCGAGAUACACGACGGAGAUCGUGAUUUCCGGUUGAAUUUUGUCGCUGUGUAACCGUUUUUGUUCGUUCAUUUCGUUUUCGUGUGGUUUUGGUGAAGUGAGAGAAGACGAAGGCUUCCGGCGAGAAAGUUAGGAAUGAUAUGGUGGAAGGAAGGGUUUGUUCCUCCCGAGAGGAUACACUAAACUAUCUGAAGCACAAGAGGCUUC